rnacentral:rRNA from 1 species
AGCGAACGCUGGCGGCAGGCCUAACACAUGCAAGUCGAACGAACUCUUCGGAGUUAGUGGCGGGCGGGUGAGUAACACGUGGGAACGUGCCUUUAGGUUCGGAAUAACUCAGGGAAACUUGUGCUAAUACCGAAUGUGCCCUUCGGGGGAAAGAUUUAUCGCCUUUAGAGCGGCCCGCGUCUGAUUAGCUAGUUGGUGAGGUAAAGGCUCACCAAGGCGACGAUCAGUAGCUGGUCUGAGAGGAUGAUCAGCCACAUUGGGACUGAGACACGGCCCAAACUCCUACGGGAGGCAGCAGUGGGGAAUCUUGCGCAAUGGGCGAAAGCCUGACGCAGCCAUGCCGCGUGAAUGAUGAAGGUCUUAGGAUUGUAAAAUUCUUUCACCGGGGACGAUAAUGACGGUACCCGGAGAAGAAGCCCCGGCUAACUUCGU